UACGAAGGGUGCAAGCGUUAAUCGGAAUUACUGGGCGUAAAGUGUGCGCAGGCGGCAGAGCAAGUCGAGUGUGAAAGCCCCGGGCUUAACUUGGGAAUUGCGCUCGAAACUACUUUGCUGGAGUGUGGCAGAGGAAGGUGGAAUUCCACGUGUAGCGGUGAAAUGCGUAGAGAUGUGGAGGAACACCAAUGGCGAAGGCAGCCUUCUGGGCCAACACUGACGCUCAUGCGCGAAAGCGUGGGGAGCAAACAGG
rnacentral:rRNA from 1 species